CCCAUAUAAGCCCUAGACCGCCAGCGAUCGGGGCCUGACAUUCUGGGAGUGAUCCCAAUCAGUGCCCAUCAACAUCAAUAAAUCUGCCUUCAAUUCCUGGAUAUCUUCCUCAGUUUGGUACUUCUGUUUGCCACUGCACUAUAAAAGAUGGAGUCCACAAGGCACAGGAAAACUUCCAGGUGGCAAAGUGAUCAGGAAAGGGAGCAGAAGGCACCGCCCUCCCUGGGGCAUCAGGAGAACAGACCAUGCUAGGAGCCCCCUCUGGGGCCAGCUCGUCCUCCGGAAGAACUUCUCAGACACCAACCAGCAGCAACACCUAGGCAAGGCGGUUGGUGAGAGUCCAUCAACACUGAGAAGAGACGAAGGGACUCAGGGCUCAGGGAAGACAGGAAAACAAGCGGCACACAUGACACAGCCUGCCGUUCCCGGACUCGGGACCCACUCAAGGAGCCACGGGAGCAGAGAGAGACAGCCAGUCCGAAAUGUCUCCUCAGAGCUGCGUGCGUGGCUUGCUGCUACAUGGAACUGGGCAGCAACAGACAGCGGGAAGCUAUAUCUAAGAUUCUAAAAGUUUCUGCUCUCAAAAUGAUUACCAGCUUGGGCUGAGACUCUUGAGUGUUCAAGCGAUAAAAUGGCCCUGGGUCCCUCGCUGUGAGUGGGAAGUAGA